CGAAAAUACCACGGCCUAACACUAGACGUCUCAUGCUUCUUAUAAAUACCCAGAAAAUUUGGCAAAAUGUCAAACGGUGCAACUAAUAUUAGAACACACUGAUCCAGACUUUGAAUAGGAACGUCUUUAGCCCGGCUAGUAGUGUUUCUGGUCUUUUUGGCAAUGUGCAACUGAACCUCGAUGGUCUAAAGGGCCGGUUUUCCCAUCAAAAUGAAUAGUAAAAACGAGAAUAAAUGGAAACCCAUGGUCAUCUCCAACCCAUCCACCCGAUUAAGGAUGGCCAGAAAUAUGCCCCAAUGGGUGGUGAGUUAACUUUUUUUUGAACACAACAGUGCAUUAUUCAAAAGGGUCUAAUAUUAAUUUAGAUAUUAAUUGUAAUCAGUGGACUUAUUGAGCCCAAAGGGGAUAUCAGCUAUAAGCAUCUUGAUAGAAAAUAUGUCAGAAGACUUUAUGAAACAGCUCCAAAUGCAAUACAUACUCAAGUUCAAAUUGUCACAAAGUCAAAAUUAAGUUAACAAUAAUUAAAAUCAUAGACAUUAAUAAAAUGCUCAUUGGCAGUAAAUACAUCAAAUCGGUAUGAAGCAAUCAAAUUUUGUCUUUGUGAACAGUAAGUUUCCUUUCAAUUUAAUUUUGAUUAUUGUCACUUUAAUUCCGAUUAAAACAAAUUUGAACUUAGAAAUGUAGUCUCUUUAAAAUAUGAAAAUUUAAACUUUUUUGAUAGAUUUAACUGAUAUGAAAUGGUUUCGGAACACCGAAAAAUAUCCCCGAUGAGCAUUUAUAUGUAUUCGCAUGUAGUCACAAAUCUACCAGGAACGAGUAUCUACGCCCUAAACACUAAGAAAACAUUGAUCGUAUGUCUCGACACUAAAUAAAAAUGAAGUUUUGACAAACACUAAAUUUAAGGAGCUUUAGGUGCCCCGAAGGCUAAAAUUAACAAAGCGUGUUUUAUCAAGGUUUCACUGUAGAUAGUGCCUCUAUUUGCUCCAACAUGUAUUCCUUUGCGCAGUAUUUCUACUAUAUAUUAUUCAACCGAAUGGUCGCCCCGAAUAAACUGUAUAAAUGCCUAUAAUUAUUAGAACUUUCAAAAACCAUUAAAAUCUAAAAUUUACAUUCCCGUUAAGGGCGCUAUACAAUCAGGCACUUUAACUUCCUUGCUGACCUUUUAGAAUAGGAUAUAUUUUUGCAGCAAACUAGUGUUUAGUUUCAAAGUAUCACAUUUAAUUCGCCAAGUGUAGCAAAUUGCCUUCAUACCUAUUUAGCAUAAGUAUUCAAAGCUUGCCUCACUUUUAAUUGGAGUAGAAAUACUAUACAAAUAAUCAGUACACUCUUAAAAAUAAAGCGCCAAAAGUUCAGAUCCUGGAUAUGAAAUUGUUCAAAAGUGCAAAGACCGCAGUUACAAGAAAACACUUUACAGCUUCAGCUUCUUAAUAAAAUCUAAAAAGUUUACAUUGUCAAGAGCAUUAAGCUGAAAAGAGUAAAUCAUCUUCAAACUACCACUUUGAAAGUAAAACCUAGAUGAGCGCCAAGGAGCGUAAAAAUAUCAGAGGAGCAAAAUACUCUUAUAAUUAUGUACGUAGGAAUCUAUAUGUACAUCCGGGCUAAUGCCAAGUCAAACUUAAACGAUCUUAAUACCUACAGUAGUUGUAUAUAAAAAAAACUUAGACUUACUGAUAAUAAAAAUAUUCUAUGGCUAAUUAAAAUCAGAUCCCAUCUUACAACAUAUCGGAAAAAUAUACACAACUAAUUGAAGCACUUGCAAGUUCAAGUUGCUGAGUAAUUUAAACAGUAAAAAACUUAGAUACCGGAAAUUAAGAUCUUAAAAAAGAUUUGUUGAUGAUGAUGAUAAAAAAGUAUUGGUGCCAAAGCAAAAGAUAUUUCUGCAAUCUGCAAUAAAGGAUCCAAUCAUCUAAAAUUACCAGAGGUUUAAACCUAAAAUACUACAUGUACUUAAAAGAAAAUAAUAUUACUUUUAUACUCAGUUCAAGUUGUAUGAAAAACGUUUUAGUUUCGAUUUUAUUCAACCCGAAACAUGCUAAUUAUUGCAUAUUUCACACGAUAUUUAGGUUUGUUAUUCAUAAUUUACUGUAGUAGUUGAAUAUUGAUAAAACAUUUCAGAUAUAUUGAUUUUGAGAAGCGCCACUUUCAUUCAGAGAAAAAACUACAGCAAUAUUUUUCACAUACACAUAUUGGUAAAUAGUAUAUAACUAUAUACAUUAUUGCCAUUUUUGACCCAAAUAUUGCCAUAAAGUAAUUCGAGCAGAAUUCAGGAUUAAGUAAAGGGCUUAUCAACACAUUACUGUAAGAAGAUAUUUGAAACAUGUUAUAAAAUUGAAAACAGUUUUGCAACAUGCUUUUGUAAAUCCACAAACUAUUCACAUUUUUAGGGUUGGUUAAGAUUCACUUCGCUUAUUAAAUUAAAGAGAUUUUGUUGACAACUUAGUUUUCCAGUUUACAGUUUUUACUCUCAAAUAUUGAGAACAGGUCUAUUGUGAUCUUCAGAGCAAAAAUAUCGGAUAAGUCAAUUGAACAUAAAUCCAUGCAUAAACUUAAGAACCAGAUAAACUCUUACAGGAUAAAGAUUUGAAAAUGAAAUAUCAACAUUUCUAAUUAUGAAACA
rnacentral:lncRNA from 1 species